ACGCUGCGUUUUCUCCGACGGCCCUUGAACAAUCUUCAAGGUACAUUAAUAGUUUUUUUCUCAGUUAUAGGAGAGGUCGGCAUGCAUGAAGUGCCUUAGCGGUGGAAAAGCGACGAAACACUUCGCCACCCUGAAACGCUACAAGCGGCCAUUGUUGUGGUCCGUCGCGCGCAGCAUCGGGGCCCCCGGGCGAUACUCCCAGCUUCUGUCUCGAUUCAUUUACGUCUGCAGUAAAACACCCUGCUACUGCUCUGCCUUGUCAAAAAUAAGCCCAGAUGCCGGCAGCCGCUUCCAGUGUCCUUCACAAGGAUCCCCACACCCAGGUCCGGAGGUCAAGAUUCAUUUCAGGGGUCAGCUGAGAUUCCCGGAAUGUGCUCUGGAUUCCCGCUGUUGGAGCCUUCCGAUCGCUGAGAGCCCUCCCUCUGUCCUCUCUGGAAUCUGCAGUAUCUGUGUGGUCUCUUCCGUUCGGCUUGCAUGUCCAGUCAGCUACCUGCGACCUUCCACAGUGGUGAGCUCAUUGCACUGGAAUGUGAGCACUGAAGGAAUUAAGACUGUUUGACUCAUAAAUACCACUGUUAUCACGUCAGAUGACAGCAGAAGAUAUGCAUUUGUUGAUAUUAUAAAAAUUCCUGAUAUGCAUUUCUUUGCAGGUUUCCUUACAUUUUUCCCUGAUUUGUUGUUUACUUUCACUUGAAGAGGGGAUAUUUUGGGAAAGGACACGUUGAUGCUUUGCAAUCACUGCAGUCGAUCCCAUAGCUGUGCUAAAACCGUGUUUGAUUUGUCUGCUUUUGCAGGAAAAGUGAGAUCAGUUUAUUGAUAAAGUUUGGUUCAUAAUGGUCAGCGGUAACACCUUUGUUUGCAAACCACAUUUUUCAGUUUCAGGUGUCGCAGUUCAAGACAGAACACCAAGAAUGUGGUGCUGUUAGGGACUGGUUUGUGAGCGUUUGAUAGUGGUUGUUCCCUGCCUUGUGCCUGUAGCUUACUGGAAGGCUCCGGACCCUGAAUAGGACAAGCAGGUACAGGAAAUAAAUGGAUGGAUGGAAUUAGUGUGUUCAAUUCUUCAACAUAUUCUGACAUUUAUGCCAUAUAAAAACAUGAAUUUUCCCUUAGCUAACAUGAUAUCCUGCAGGAUUUAUCUCAUUAACAUGUCUUGGUCCUGGAGGCAGAUUAAAGACAUCAGCAGAUCCACAUCUAGAAGGUGAAGAGGAACCUGCUGUUCACAGGUCCAGGUCUAACGCCGGAGGUCCUCUUGAAACUUCACUGUGAUGUUUGAUGGUUUGAAUGCACUUUUGAAUACAAUUUGAAUACAAAUUUCACUUGUAACUCUGGAAGCAGUCAGCUGAGGGUUAUUAGUAGGAAAAGUUCAAAGUUCGAGGCACAUGAGCAUCAACAUUCUGUGUGGGAAACAUCUUGUUCGCUAUCCGCUCUGGAAAUUCCUAAAUAUAGAUGAGUAUAACAAUGGAAUAUGACUUAUGAUGUGCCAUGUGAUCUCCUCAGAGAGGCCAAGGCAGGGUAACAUCAAAAUGCAGAAGAAACUUCUAGACCUGUAACGUUCUUGCAGCAACAAUCACCUGCAUACCUGGGAGGGAGAGAGCCCGGCGUCUGCUGAAUCCACACACGCGAAGGAGGUACAGCAGAUAAGCUCCACCCCCCCCACAGGCCAAACAGUAACCUGCUGCACCACCUGCUGAUCAAUGCCCCCCACACACAAUGGAAUGGAGGGCUCUGUUGAGUGAACCCCCCCCCCCCAUGUGGUUUCGGGGGAAGCGGAUGCCUGAAUGACCCCCUAUAGUUUUUCUUGGAAUCAUCCUCACCAUGGAUGGGGGGGGGAUGUCCCAGCAUUGCUGAACAUG